GACGAACGCUGGCGGCGUGCCUAACACAUGCAAGUCGAGCGAGGAGAGUUCCUUCGGGAACAAACCUAGCGGCGGACGGGUGAGUAACACGUGGGCAACCUGCCUUGUAGAGGGAAUAGCCUUCCGAAAGGAAGAUUAAUACCGCAUAACAUUACAGCUUCGCAUGAAACAGUAAUUAAAGGAGCAAUCCGUUACAAGAUGGGCCCGCGGCGCAUUAGCUAGUUGGUGAGGUAACGGCUCACCAAGGCGACGAUGCGUAGCCGACCUGAGAGGGUGAUCGGCCACAUUGGGACUGAGACACGGCCCAGACUCCUACGGGAGGCAGCAGUGGGGAAUAUUGCACAAUGGGGGAAACCCUGAUGCAGCAACGCCGCGUGAGUGAUGAAGGUUUUCGGAUCGUAAAGCUCUGUCUUCGGGGACGAUAAUGACGGUACCCGAGGAGGAAGCCACGGCUAACUACGUG
rnacentral:rRNA from 1 species